rnacentral:rRNA from 1 species
CCCUGCCCUUUGUACACACCGCCCGUCGCUCCUACCGAUUGAAUGUUCCGGUGAACACUUUGGAGUCGUGACCUUUGGAGCAAUUCAGAUGUCUUCGGCAAAGUUGUGUAAACCUUAACAUUUAGAGG